rnacentral:rRNA from 1 species
UGAGGAAUAUUGGUCAAUGGGCGAGAGCCUGAACCAGCCAAGUAGCUGUGCAGGAUGACGGCCCUAUGGGUUGUAAACUGCUUUUAUCCAGGGAUAAAGUGAGGUACGUGUACUUUUUGUAUGUACCAGGUUGAAUAAGGGGCCGGCUAAUAC